CGGACUCUGGGUCAGAGUCGAAAUACAUCUGCUCUGGAGCCCAGGGCUUGCGCGGAAAGGAACCUUUAGCCAUCGGCGCAGAAGACGGAUAGACGGGCUGAACUCCUGAUCCCCCAUGUGGCUCAGAGAAGUCGGGGGAGGGAGACGAAAAACCGACACAACUUUGUAGAAAAUAUGGCGAAUUUAGCUGUGUACGCACACAAGAGACUGGAGCAGAAGAGGCCUUGAGUUCCAAUCUAGCCAGCAUGUAUGUGGAGGCUCUGACCCAAAAGACAAAAACAAUAUCACAAUAAAACUUCUACAGCCCGAGGGUCCAGAAGUAACAGAGGACUAUCUUCUCAUCUCUCAGCUCUGGACCAGCCACAGGAUCUCAGUUUGGGCCCCUCCUUACCGUGCGCUCUGGAUGAGCAGCCGUGGAUUCUCUGCUGUCAGAGCCCUCAGCUGCACCAUCACCUGAUCACUCAGAGAGCCCUGGUCCAGCCUGAAAGCACAAGGGAAGCCAUAUUGUCCUGGGAUACACUGAGGAACGUCUUUCACUCUGCCACAGUUGGGUUCCUUAGAAUUAGGCUCUGAGAUAAAGCCAGUGAGGGAGCUAAUUAGGGGAUGUUAUUUGACCAACACCAGGACAGAGAAGGGAGGGAGUAGCAGAGGCAGAUGUGGCCAUGAGGUGGUGCCAGUGAGGUCUUGGCCAAAUCACAGGUGUAUCUGAGAUGAGAUGAUGGCCUUUGGAACUGUCUAGAGUUAACUUUUUAAAACAAACUCCUACAUGGGUCAGAUGCUGGAUAUGAACCAUCCUAGGAAGGGGACAUGACAGUGGAUGAAGUGGUUCUUACUGGCAGAGGGCAUUCCUGCAGCCAUCAGCAUCACAGUGGUUGGGGGUCAUGGCUUUGUCCCAGAAGGGACUCUGGACUGUUGUUAAAGAGAGUAAUGAAGGUCUGUGUUCUAGGAUUUUGUGAGAAUUCUGCUAGAAGGAAACAAUCUUGGUACCACUUCCCCUCCCCUGCCCCCCCAUUUCAUUGCUGGUACCACUUCCCCUCCCCCCAUUUCAUUGCUGGAGGUGGAAGCCGUGUUCUCACACAUGAACUUGCCCUAUUGAGCCCAGGUCCUGGGUUCCAUCCUUACAGGUUUCAAGUCCCAGAGUUUCUGUUGGUUUAGAAUUACCACUUUUUUUCCCUGGGCCUCCAUGUCCAUAACCAGGAACAUCAUCACUCCCUCUCAGCCUGCUGUGAAGCAAGGACAAGGCAGGAGAGGAAAGAAUCCUAUGCUGGUGAGAGGCUGGGCAGUGUCAACAUUCCUGCCCUAUGAGCUGUUCUCCCUGGAGAGAAGAUGGAGCCCUUGAAGCUGAAUCUUGUUCCUGUUUCUAGGAAGGAAGGAGGCAGCUAA